AGAGUUUGAUUAUGGCUCAGAACGAACGCUUGCUGCAUGCUUUAUACAUGCAAGUCGAACGGAGGCCCUAGCUUGCUAGGUGUCCUUAGUGGCGCACGGGUGAGUAACACGUGGGAACAUACCUUAUAGUACGGAAUAACUGCGGGAAACUGUAGCUAAUACCGUAUAUUCCAGUAAUGGGAAAGAUUUAUCGCUAUAAGAUUGGCCCGCGCAAGAUUAGCUUGUUGGUGAGGUAAAAGCUCACCAAGGCUUCGAUCUUUAGCUGGUUUGAGAGGAUGAUCAGCCACACUGGGACUGAGACACGGCCCAGACUCCUACGGGAGGCAGCAGUAGGGAAUAUUGGACAAUGGGGGCAACCCUGAUCCAGCAAUGCAGCGUGAGUGACGAAGGCCUUAGGGUUGUAAAACUCUUUCAUCGGUGAGGAUAAUGACAGUAGCCGAAGAAGAAGGACCGGCUAAUUCCGUGCCAGCAGCCGCGGUAAUACGGAAGGUCCUAGCGUUGUUCGGAAUUACUGGGCGUAAAGCGCAUGUAGGCGGAACAGAAAGUUAGAAGUGAAAUCCCUGGGCUCAACCUAGGAAUUGCUUUUAAAACUUCUGUUCUGGAAUUCAGGAGAGGAAAAUGGAAUUUCCAGUGUAGAGGUGAAAUUCGUAGAUAUUGGAAGGAACACCAGUGGCGAAGGCGAUUUUCUGGACUGAUAUUGACGCUGAGAUGCGAAGGCAUGGGUAGCAAACGGGAUUAGAUACCCCGGUAGUCCAUGCAGUAAACGAUGGGUGCUAGUCGUCGGACUUUUGUUCGGUGUCGUAGCUAACGCGUUAAGCACCCCGCCUGGGGAGUACGGUCGCAAGAUUAAAACUCAAAUAAAUUGACGGGGACCCGCACAAGCAGUGGAGCAUGUGGUUUAAUUCGACGCAACGCGAAGAACCUUACCAGCGUUUGACAUGGAAAGUGCCGGUUACAGAAUGGUAACCUUCAGUUCGGCUGGCUUUCGCACAGGUGCUGCAUGGCUGUCGUCAGCUCGUGUCGUGAGAUGU
rnacentral:rRNA from 1 species